UAAGGAAUAUUGGGCAAUGGACGAAAGUCUGACCCAGCCAUGCCGCGUGCAGGAAGACGGCCCUAUGGGUUGUAAACUGCUUUUGUCAGGGGAUAAACCUAUCUACGAGUAGAUAGCUGAAGGUACCUGAAGAAUAAGGAUCGGCUAACUCCGUGCCAGCAGCCGCGGUAAUACGGAGGAUCCGAGCGUUAUCCGGAUUUAUUGGGUUGAAAGGGUGCGCAGGCGGACUGGUAAGUCAGGGGUGAAAUCCUACGGCUCAACUGUAGAACUGCCAUUGAUACUGUUAGUCUUGAGUACAGUUGAAGUGGGCGGAAUGUGUCAUGUAGCGGUGAAAUGCUUAGAUAUGACACAGAACACCGAUAGCGAAGGCAGCUCACUAAGCUGUAACUGACGCUCAUGCACGAAAGCGUGGGGAUCAAACA
rnacentral:rRNA from 1 species